GCGCCACGUUAGUAGUGUACAUGGCCGACAACAGUGCCCGACAGCCACUGACGGACGCCAGCUGCCGCACGUCCGGGUGAGUCAGCAGCGUCAGUGGAGCGCCGACUGAGCGAGCGUUCGGCGUGGUGGAUUACACGUGGCUAGCGUAGAGUGGACGUCCGGUAGUGGGGAACAGUGGGUCGGCCAGCUGAACGAGCGUCGGCGAUGGUGGAAGACACGUGGCAACAGUACAGUGGUCGACCGUCCAGAGUGGGUUGGUGUAGUGCGUCCGGCCAAGCGCGCACUGGUAUAGUGGAGACGUGCGUUCGGCUGAGUGGAGCACUCACCUCUUAAUUUAAUUCUGAUAGAUCUCUCUCUUCACCCUCUUUCCUUCAGUUUCUCAGAUUCAAUUCUCUCCUCCUUCUCUCUUCACUCUCUGCACCCUUCUCUCUCUAAGAAACCACCACUGCACCUCCUCCAUUCCACACUCCGGCAAGAUUGAAGGACGCUCGGCGUAGGAGUUCCAGAGAGAACGUUCGACUGGUGAAGCUGUGGAUUAACGAGCGCUUGUUAUUGGAAUUUGAGUAGAGAAUCUGUGAACGUUCGUCAUUUCCGGAGGGAGAUGAGCGUUUGGAAGAAGCAUUGAAUGAAGAGAGCCUGGUUGAUGUUGAAGUGAAGAUCGAGCAGUGAGAUCGCUCGGCCAGUAUUGUAUUUAGUUGAAUUGAGUGGUCGUUCGACCAUCUCUUGUUUUCUUUUGAGUUAAUUCGACCGUUCGGUAAUUAUCCUGUGUAAACCGUUCGGUCAGGUUUCUUGUACGUUUAUCUUAAUUUUGUAAAACCCUUAUGUGUGGCAUGCGACUUUUGCACAUUCGUCCGUUAUGUUGGAUUUGUACUCAAGGACGUUCGUCCUUGAG